rnacentral:rRNA from 1 species
UACGUAGGGGGCUAGCGUUGUCCGGAAUCAUUGGGCGUAAAGAGCGUGUAGGCGGCCCGGUAAGUCCGCUGUGAAAGUCGGGGGCUCAACCCUCGAAUGCCGGUGGAUACUGUCGGGCUAGAGUGCGGAAGAGGCGAGUGGAAUUCCUGGUGUAGCGGUGAAAUGCGUAGAGCUCGGGAAGAACAUCGGUGGCGAAAGCGCUCUGCUGGACUGCAACUGACACUCAGGGACGAAAGCUAGGGGAGCGAAUGGG